rnacentral:lncRNA from 1 species
CUGUGCCUAAAGAGAUAGCAGCUGGAAAGGACUGAGGAAGCCACCAAAACGGAGAACAGCUGGUGGAAAAAAAAAAAAAAAAAAAAAAAAAAAAAAGGAGAGAUGUUUUAAAGCAGGUCUACACAAACUAGCUUAACUGAGUGAAGCAGAUGUAGGGUAUGGAGAGGAGAGAGUGCCUUGCAGACUGCAGGGAUCCCUUUCUGGGCUGACCCUGGGUGAGGAGCAGCGGUGGGAGAAGGAGGGAAAGGAUUUGUUCGAGCUCUGUGCUUGUACAUCUUAGAAAAUAUAUUGUGUGAGGUGGCCGGAGAUUUUUCCAAGGGUGUUUAAAGGGACAGCCUGAUCAGGAGACGGUGUCGCCUUGGAAGUAGUGAGAGCAGAGACCUGCUUAUGUCCUGCAAAAAUGCCAGAUCCUUGGAGCUGAGAGUAUUGGACAGGGACAAGGCACCAGGUCCUCUCACAUCCCAACAGCUCUUAAUGAGGGUACUCGGUAUUCUCAGGAGGCAACCUGCAGGUUCAGCCCUAAGACAGAAGAUUAAGUUGUUUUGA